AAUUGAUAGAUAAGCUGCUCAUUAGUUGAAAGACUGGUAGGUAAAGGAAGGAAGACAGGACUGUGGAGGAUAUAGGCUUGGAGUGUAAAGUCCUGUUAGGGCAAGAUGAUGAAAGCUCUUGUGGAAUAUGCUGGCUUUGUGAAGUCUGUGUGUCCAUGGCUCACUAGAGGAGGCAAUGCUCGCUCCUAAGCAAGGGAUUUUGAAGGCCUAUCACUGUAAACUUUUGGCACUAUUCACACUGUAGCUAUGCGACAAAUGCAAUUGCAGGUCAAGCUGCUGGCGUUCAGUUUCCCUGCAGAGCUUCACAGUACUUUCUAAAGAAAGUGUGUUCUCAACUUUGUGUAUGAAGACUGAGAAUGUGACUGAGGACAAAAGGGAAGAAGAGUACACAACUACAGCCUCCUUCAGAAAGCAGUGCUUCUUUUUCCACUGGUUAAGGCCAUAUAAUAUGCAUCAAUGUGACAGAAUAACUAAACUGAAGUAGAAACGUAUCCUGUGAGAGAACCUCAUUUAUUAUUUUUUCCUGUUAGUGGACAUGUGAGGUAGUCCAGAUGAUUUCAGUGAAAGAUGAUACUUAGUGAUCAACAGAACUGAUAUCGGGAUGUGAGCCAUGAACUUCCCAUCUUUGCAUCUCUCCUCCCUCUGACUUGCAGCUGGCUGGGGGGGUUCUUGCUUUGAAGGCACUGUUUUCAACACACCCACAACCUGUCAGCAGGCCAGAUCCUGGCCUGUUGACCCUUUCAAGCCAAUGGCACUGCAUCUCUGAUGUGCCCAGCAGUGCUCUAGGGACACACCACACAGUGCGACCCAGGGGACUGAACCUCCAGAAUAUCCAGUCUUUCCAUAGUGCAGCAGUAAAAAACACCUCACAAAAGUGCCACAUUGAAUGC